rnacentral:rRNA from 1 species
GACAGAGGUCCCAAGCGUUAGGCGGAAUCACUGGGCUUAAAGCGUGUGUAGGCGGAUGCCUAAGUACCUUGUGAAAUCCCACGGCUCACCCGUGGAACUGCUUGGUAUACUGGGUGUCUUGAGCCACGUAGGGGCUACCGGAACAAAUGGUGGAGCGGUGAAAUGCGUAGAUAUCAUUUGGAACGCCAAUGGUGAAAACAGGUAGCUGGGAGUGUGCUGACGCUGAGACACGAAAGCCAGGGGAGCAAACGGG